rnacentral:rRNA from 1 species
GACGAACGCUGGCGGCGUGCUUAACACAUGCAAGUCGAACGGAAAGGCCCUGCUUUUGUGGGGUGCUCGAGUGGCGAACGGGUGAGUAACACGUGAGUAACCUGCCCUUGACUUUGGGAUAACAUCAGGAAACUGGGGCUAAUACCGGAUAGGAGCUCCUGCUGCAUGGUGGGGGUUGGAAAGAUUCGGCGGUUGUGGAUGGACUCGCGGCUUAUCCGCUUGUUGGUGGGGUAGUGGCUUACCAAGGCUUUGACGGGUAGCCGGCCUGAGAGGGGGACCGGCCACAUUGGGACUGAGAUACGGCGCAGAAUGCUACGGGAGGCAGCAGUGGAGAAUAUUGCACAAUGGGCGGAAGCCUGAUGCAGCAACGCCGCGUGCGGGAUGACGGCCUUCGGGUUGUAAACCGCUUUCGCCUGUGACGAAGCGUGAGUGACGGUAAUGGGUAAAGAAGCACCGGCUAACUACGUG